AUGAAGAUGAAUGAAGGUUUGAGAGAGGUAUCAGAUUUUUUUGUGAGUUUCUGUUUUGAAUUUUUUAGAACGAAAUCAUGUUAUCCUUCUUCUGAGUUUUUCUGUGAAUUUGUAUUUUUCUUUGUGAGUUCAGAAAGAGAGAGAGGAGUGUUUUGUGUGAUUCUCUCUGUAUUUUGCUUUCAAUCGCGUUCUCCUUUUCUGUAA